rnacentral:rRNA from 1 species
UACAGAGGUCUCAAGCGUUGUUCGGAUUCAUUGGGCGUAAAGGGUGCGUAGGAGGGCAGGUAAGUCAGUGGUGAAAUCUCCAAGCUUAACUUGGAAACUGCCGUUGAUACUAUCUGUCUUGAAUAUUGUGGAGGUGAGCGGAAUAUGUCAUGUAGCGGUGAAAUGCUUAGAUAUGACAUAGAACACCAAUUGCGAAGGCAGCUCACUACUCAAUCAUUGACUCUGAGGCACGAAAGCGUGGGGAUCAAACAGG